rnacentral:rRNA from 1 species
CCCUUAGAUGUUCUGGGCUGCACACGUGCUACACUGGCAGGUUCAGCGAGCUUCAUGCCCUGAUCUGAAAGGAAUGGGAAAUCUUUUCAAAACCUGCCGUGCUUGGGAUAGAUGUUUGCAAUUAUUCAUCUUCAACGAGGAUUGCCUUGUAAGCGCACGUCAUCAGCGUGCAUUGAAUACGACCCUGUAUUCUGUACACACCGCCCGUCGCUCCUACCGAUUGAAGUUUUCGGUGAGUUGACAGGAGGAUUUUUUUGAAACUGGUUCGCCAGUGGAUUUUAGAUCCAAAUGCCUACGAAUCGAUGGCUUUAGAGGAAGGAGAAGUCGUAACA